UGGCACAGACAAGGGAUCCAGUACAAGAGUUCACAGACUGCCUUCCUCUCACCUCUAUGAAUCCUGGCACUUCUGGCACCUACUGGUGACAUCCUUCAAACCUCUGUGUCCUCUGGCUCCUGACAAUGCUGGGCUGAGAUCAGAGGAGAUUUGGAAGGGCCACAGGCAAAUGAACUUGAUAAACACAUCCCAACACUGAUCUCAGCAGUGUGCACUGCACAGAUAUCAUAGACAAGGAGUAUGAAGCCUUGGCUUUGACUUCAACACCAGCUCUUCACUCCCGCGUGCUCCUGCCCCCAACCUUUCAAGUAGUCAUCACCUUGUCCUUGUUAAACAGCAAACAUUGUGGACAUCCCUCCCAGUUAGGCCAGGUGGAGCUGCCUAAAGAACACCUUUUAAAGAGCCGCCUAAAUCACCCUUUUAAAGAAGCUGCCCGCGUAGCAUUGCCUUCCAUCACGGUGCGUAACUUUGCAUCCAUAUCACAUAGUCCUGAGGGAUCUAAAAUUUAGGGUCACUGAGCUUUCUGCUUUUCCACAUGCGAUUGCAAUGAUAUCCUUGUACCAAUAUAUUAACAGACUCAUGCUAACAUUUCUGUAGGAAAGAUACCUAUAAGUGUUUGAUUAUAAAAUAUGCCCAUUCACAAACGUGCCUUCCCAAACAGUUGUACAAAUGUCUACUGUCCUAACAUUUGAAAACCACCCAUUUUCCACGCCUCCUUACCCUACCUUUAAAAGUGU
rnacentral:lncRNA from 1 species